ensembl:misc_RNA Metazoa_SRP Metazoan signal recognition particle RNA
GCUGGAUGUGGUCGCGCACACUUGUAGUCCCAGCUACCUGGGAGGCUGAGAUGGGAGGAUCACCUGAGCCCAGGAGGUCAAGGUUGCAGUGAGCCAUGAUCAUGCCACUGCACUCCAGCCUGGGCAACAGAGUGAGAUCCUGUCUCCA